rnacentral:sRNA from 1 species
GCCGGGUGCGGUGGCCCACACCUGUCAUCCCAGCAGCUUGGGAGGCUGAGGCAGGAGGAUCGCAAGGUGGAGGCCAGCCUCGGCCACUUAGCAAGGCCCUGAGCAACUCAGGAAGACCCUGUCUCUA